GCCAACAGCCAUAUCACCCUGCAAUUCAAAACUGGCAACCCACUAAAGCUCAGCAGGUGUGAGCCUGGUCAGUACCUGGAUAGGAGACCUUCUGGGAAAAGCUAAGGUUGCUGCUGGAA
rnacentral:rRNA from 1 species